UCUUGAACAUUAUAAGUCAUCACG
rnacentral:siRNA from 1 species